AGCAGCCGCGGUAAUUCCAGCUCCAAUAGCGUAUAUUAAAGUUGUUGCAGUUAAAAAGCUCGUAGUUGAAUUUCGGGAUUGACACAUCGGUCGUGCCUUAAGGGGUAUGAACUGGUGUAGUCAAUUUCUCACCUUCUGGAGAACCGCGAUGCCCUUAAUUGGGUGUCGCGGGGAACCAGGACCUUUACUUUGAAAAAAUUAGGGUGUUUAAAGCAGGCAUUUUGCUUGAAUACAUUAGCAUGGAAUAAUAAAAUAGGACGGCAUGAUUCUAUUUUGUGGUUUCUAGGAUCACCGUAAUGAUUAAUAGGGAUAGUUGGGGGUAUUAGUAUUCAAUUGUCAGAGGUGAAAUUCUUGGAUUUAUUGAAGACUAACUACUGCGAAAGCAUUUGCCAAGGAUGUUUUCAUUAAUCAAGAACGAAAGUUAGGGGAUCGAAGACGAUCAGAUACCGUCGUAGUCUUAACCAUAAACUAUGCCGACUAGGAAUCAGACGAUGUUAAUUUUUAAUGUACUCGUUUUGGC
rnacentral:rRNA from 1 species